rnacentral:rRNA from 1 species
UACGAAGGGAGCUAGCGUUGUUCGGAAUAACUGGGCGUAAAGGGCGCGUAGGUGGGUAUGUGCGUUAGAUGUGAAAUCCCCGGGCUUAACCUGGGAACGGCAUCUAAUACGGCAUAUCUAGAGUGCGAGAGGGGAAAGCGGAAUGGCGAGUGGAGCAGUGAAAUGCAUUGAGAUUCGCUAGAACACCAGAGGCGAAGGCGGCUUUCUGGCUCGUUACUGACACUAAAGCGCGAAAGCGUGGGGAGCAAACAGG